rnacentral:rRNA from 1 species
CAUAAUGUCAUUUAUUUGAUGUUGUGGGGAAUUAGGACUGUUACCUUGAAAAAAUUAGAGUGUUUAAAGCAGGCUAACGCUUGAAUACAUUAGCAUGGAAUAAUGAAAUAGGACAUCGCAUUCUAUUUUGUUGGUUUCUAGGAUCGAUGUAAUGAUUAAUAGGGAUAGUUGGGGGCAUUAGUAUUCAAUUGUCAGAGGUGAGAUUCUUGGAUCUAUUGAAGACUAACUACUGCGAAAGCAUUUACCAAGGAUGUUUUCAUUAAUCAAGAACGAAAGUUAGGGGAUCGAAGACGAUCAGAUACCGUCGUAGUCUUAACCAUAAACUAUGCCGACUAGGGAUCGGAUGAUGUUGAUUUUUUAGUGACUCAUUCGGCACCUUACGGGAAACCAAAGUGUUUGGGUUCCGGGGGGAGUAUGGUCGCAAGGCUGAAACUUAAAGGAAUUGACGGAAGGGCACCACCAGGGGUGGAGCCUGCG